rnacentral:pre_miRNA from 1 species
GAGAGAGUCUUGUCGCAGGAUAGAGGGCACUGGGUAUGGCAUGAUGAUGCAUGCAAAAAUAUAUUAUGUGUGCUGAAAUCAUAAUUAAGCAUGUAUUUAUAAAUAUAGCUAGUGUCCCUGUCUUGCGACAAGAUUCUCUG